GUGGGGAAUAUUGGUCAAUGGGGGAAACCCUGAACCAGCAACGCCGCGUGAAGGAAGAAGGCUUUCGGGUUGUAAACUUCUUUGACAGGGGACGAAAGCAAUGACGGUACCCUGAAAACAAGCCACGGCUAACUACGUGCCAGCAGCCGCGGUAAUACGUAGGUGGCGAGCGUUGUCCGGAUUUACUGGGUGUAAAGGGCGUGUAGGCGGGGCGGUAAGUCAGAUGUGAAAUGUAGGGGCUCAACCCCUGAAUUGCAUUUGAAACUAUCGUUCUUGAGUGAUGGAGAGGCAGGCGGAAUUCCGUGUGUAGCGGUGAAAUGCGUAGAUAUACGGAGUAACACCAGUGGCGAAGGCGGCCUGCUGGACAUUAACUGACGCUGAGGCGCGAAAGCGUGGGGAGCAAACAGGAUUAGAUACCCCGGUAGUCC
rnacentral:rRNA from 1 species